rnacentral:rRNA from 1 species
CCUACGGGGGGCAGCAGUCGAGAAUCAUUCACAAUGGGGGAAACCCUGAUGGUGCGAAGCCGCGUGGGGGAAUGAAGGUCUUCGGAUUGUAAACCCCUGUCAUGUGGGAGCAACGUAAAUAGAUAGUACCACAAGAGGAAUAGACGGCUAACUCUGUGCCAGCAGCCGCGGUAAUACAGAUGUCUCAAGCGUUGUCCGGAUUCACUGGGCGUAAGGCGUGCGUAGGCUGUUUCGUAAGUCGCCUGUGAAAGGCGCGGGCUCAACCCGCGGACGGCAGAGGAUACUGCGGUGCUAGAGUACUCGAGAGGGAACCGGAAUUCGUGGUGUAGCGGUGAAAUGCGUAGAUAUCGCGAGGAACCCUCGUGGCGAAGGCAGGUUCCUGGACAGUAACUGACGCUGAGGCACGAAGGCCAGGGGAGCGAAAGGGAUUAGAUACCCCAGUAGUC